UGUUCUGUGGCUUAGUUGGUUAAAGCGCCGGUCUGCCGAAUUCGGAGUCGUGAGUUCGAAUCCCGCCAGAUCGC
rnacentral:tRNA from 1 species